rnacentral:rRNA from 1 species
CACGUAGGGUGCAAGCGUUGUCCGGAAUUAUUGGGCGUAAAGAGCUUGUAGGCGGUCUGUCGCGUCUGCUGUGAAAAUCCGGGGCUCAACCCCGGACUUGCAGUGGGUACGGGCAGACUAGAGUGUGGUAGGGGAGACUGGAAUUCCUGGUGUAGCGGUGAAAUGCGCAGAUAUCAGGAGGAACACCGAUGGCGAAGGCAGGUCUCUGGGCCACUACUGACGCUGAGAAGCGAAAGCAUGGGGAGCGAACAGG